AAAUGAUAAAAGAUCGCAUUGUUUUUGCUUUUCGUUGAAGGCGUGCCAAACGGAAGCACGGUUGUCCGAAAGAACGUGACAUGACUGUUUGGCCUUCUGUGCUAGACGUACGGGAUGUGGUGAAGUGAGUGUUUAGCAUGGACACGGGGAAGGAUACUUAAGGAAUUGCGUCAUUUUUAAAGAGAUGAAGUGCGGCUUCGGGUUUUCGGAACCGACAAAAGGAAAUAAAAACGACUUUAAAGGACCCUGCAAACGGACAUGGCUGGGUGCUAGCAAUAAAAGAUUGUUCAGAGGAGCACUCCAUUCCCAGGUCCAUUAUACCAGAGAGCAAUGGACCUCAACACAUACUAUUUGAAUGAGGACAUGACAAACUUGGCAAACCUGGCUGAAGCUGGAGACUUUCACACAUUAACAGACAGCUGCUGGGAGAACACCGAUGCCACAGUCAACCUUGCUUGCAAAUGCAGGCUUUAACAAAGACCAAACACUGUUUUUGAUUGAUGUGGCAGCACAUUGGGACUGAAGGCAUAGGUCUACCAAAAAUUCAAAAUGACCUGAACACACGCUUUAAAAAAGGCAAACAGAAAGGAAUUACCUUCUUGGAGGACAACAUUAUAUAGUCUUUCUUGUUCUUGAAUCAUCAGAGAGGAUAGAGGUGCAUGGGCCCGAAGCUCUAAGACAUUGUAGAUGUUUCACAGCAUGCACUGGCACUGUGUCCAGCCAAGCAACAACACCAAUUGCCAUACCAACAUCACCUCAUAAAAAAGAAGGGUGCAUAACUAGUUUAAUCAGUUCCUGCAAGAGUCAGAAGAAGCCAGUUGGCAGUGCCAUGAAGAGACUCUAGCACAAAUGAAGUCUGCUGAGCAUGUUUUUGAGGCUCUGAUGAGUAAAUUGUUGCACAAGCUACAAUCUGUUGCUAUUUGGAGAAGCUUGUACUGGUCAUUGGGAAACAGUUACAUUAUUUGUAUACAGUUUAUUUGAGGCUUUCAGGACAAGGAAUAGUGUUUUGGUAUAUAGCUUUUAAAAUGUGUAUAUGUUUUGAAUACAAAUACUUAUGUUACAGUUUGGAUAUUUUGGACAUUGUGAACUCCUCAUGUAACUUUUAACCAAUUAAAUGCAGAGCUGCUGCCAUAAGUUACACUCAGCCAACAUAACUGUCAGGAUUCAAAUACGAAUAACUUGAGAAAGAGAGCUGAGAAAAAGGGAUGAAGAGGAGGCAUCCAGGUGAGAGCAAACAGACCAUCUCUGCUCAGAAUGCAGAGACAUCAGCAACUGCUAUUUUUUUUUGUUUCUCUGAAACAGGGCUAGCUCCUGAAACUCUAGACACAGUGAUAAUUUCUUACAAUACAGGUUUUUCAGUCUUUCACAGAUAUCUGAGUUAAUUUUCCAAUAAAAGCAAAGGGGGAGAUACUCCUUUAGAGGAUAAUAUUUCACAUAUUUUUUUGUGAACAACAUGUGGCAUGCAAAUGAUAAGAUUUUCUCUAAAAGCUGUACACCUGAUUCAGAAACGAUUAAUGAUCAGGUUUAGUCUAUUAUAUCUUCAAAAGGAAUUAUCUGUUGUUUUUCACCUUCCCAUUUUGUGAUGUAGUGUUCCUGACAGUAUUUUUCUUUUCUACAUCAUUUGCUGGGAGCCUUGCAUUUGCCAGUGAAACACAACAAAUUGGUUCACAAAAAUAUUUGUUCCCCUUUAAUAUUCUCUGUAGUUCCUUGCUUGUUGCAGACUUCUUCACAGAUGACAAUACUGUAUCAGAAAUAUAUUUUUUGCUAUUUCCUCUUCUGAAAAAUUUUCCCCUUGCUUUUAAUAUACCACCACAUCUUUAACUGCUCUCUUGCUAGUAGUACUGUAUAAUAAAAUACAUAUUUUUCAUUUUUGACAAUAUUCCUGGCUUUUAAGAA